rnacentral:sRNA from 1 species
AUUUUUUGAGUGAAAA